rnacentral:rRNA from 1 species
GACGUCCGCGGUCGAGCACUCUCUAUUUAAGGGGCGACGAUAAGUUGUUACCGAAGGCAGGGAAACUCCAAAGAGCGGGCGCUCUAAAAAAGUUGGACAGACUUGGGGUGCUAAGGUCACAAGUCAAAAGGGAAACAGCCCCGAUCGUUCGUUAAGGUUCUUAAAUCGUUGGUCAGUGUACGAGGCCGUUCAGCGUUGUUACCCCUCAAAGGCUAGGCUCGGAAGCAGCCAUGCUCUCAGGAAAGCGUUAUAGCUCAUGGAUGCAGAUGCUGGGCAUCGAAAAUGUUGCGGAUCUUAUCCUUCGUGCCGAAACGACGAAAU